UACGAAGGGGGCUAGCGUUGCUCGGAAUCACUGGGCGUAAAGGGCGCGUAGGCGGACUUUUAAGUCGGGGGUGAAAGCCCAGGGCUCAACCCUGGAAUUGCCUUCGAUACUGGGAGUCUUGAGUUCGGAAGAGGUUGGUGGAACUGCGAGUGUAGAGGUGAAAUUCGUAGAUAUUCGCAAGAACACCAGUGGCGAAGGCGGCUCACUGGCCCGGUACUGACGCUGAGGUGCGAAAGCGUGGGGAGCAAACAGG
rnacentral:rRNA from 1 species